UACGUAGGGGGCAAGCGUUAUCCGGAAUUACUGGGUGUAAAGGGUGCGUAGGCGGCACACUAAGUCAGCUGUGAAACCCCGCGGCUCAACCGCGGACUUGCAGUUGAAACUGGUGAGCUUGAGUACAGGAGGGGAAAGCGGAAUUACUAGUGUAGCGGUGAAAUGCGUAGAUAUUAGUAAGAACACCGGAGGCGAAGGCGGCUUUCUGGACUGAAACUGACGCUGAGGCACGAAAGCGUGGGGAGCAAAC
rnacentral:rRNA from 1 species